rnacentral:rRNA from 1 species
UUGUACCUACGGGGUUCAGCAGUGAUUCCUAUUUUUCCCUUUUCGAUAUCCUGAACCAGCCAAGCCGCGUGAGGGAAGACGGCCCUAUGGGUUGUAAACCUCUUUUGUCGGAGGACAAAACCCGGGACGUGUCCCGGACUGCGUGUAUCCGAAGAAAAAGCAUCGGCUAACUCCGUGCCAGCAGCCGCGGUAAUACGGAGGAUGCGAGCGUUAUCCGGAUUUAUUGGGUUUAAAGGGUGCGUAGGCGGUCCGUUAAGUCAGCGGUAAAAUUGCGGGGCUCAACCCCGUCGAGCCGUUGGAACUGG